AGAACGAACGCUGGCGGCAUGCCUAAUACAUGCAAGUCGAACGAACUCUUCGGAGUUAGCGGCGCACGGGUGCGUAACGCGUGGGAAUCUGCCCCUUGGUUCGGAAUAACAGUUGGAAACGACUGCUAAUACCGGAUGAUGACGAAAGUCCAAAGAUUUAUCGCCAAGGGAUGAGCCCGCGUAGGAUUAGCUAGUUGGUGAGGUAAAGGCUCACCAAGGCAACGAUCCUUAGCUGGUCUGAGAGGAUGAUCAGCCACACUGGGACUGAGACACGGCCCAGACUCCUACGGGAGGCAGCAGUAGGGAAUAUUGGACAAUGGGGGCAACCCUGAUCCAGCCAUACCGCGUGUGUGAAGAAGGCCUUCGGGUUGUAAAGCACUUCAG
rnacentral:rRNA from 1 species